rnacentral:lncRNA from 1 species
UCUUUCCACCUCCUCCUCCUGCAGCGGCGGCGGCAGCACUUGGCAGCAGCAACUUGAGACUGCACUGGGGCAAGCCCCCAGGGUGGUGCUCCCCGGAGAGCGGGGCUUGGUGCCCCGGAGGGGUGUGUGUAGGGUGAGGGCGGCCAGCUGGGACCAGCUGGUGGCCCUGGAAAACCUCCCACACACCCACACCCACACCCCCCUUUUGUGUUGCAGGCUGCCCCUCCAAGAGCAGAGGCAGCGAAAGGAGUCGUGUGCACCGGUCAGCCCCGGGAAGCUGUAGGGACCGGCGAGCAGGCACCACCUCCUGUUCCCCGCUCCAGGAAAACCAGGAAAACGAGAACUAGCAAGAGCUUGACAAACACCUGCCUUCAGAUUGGAAGACCAGUCACCUGUCAUUCCUGGACUCUGCACUGCAGCUGUCUAAGGUACAUGGAAAAAGAAACUGUGGUAUCUUUUGUUGAUGAUCUUGUGAUAUGUGGAAUAAAAAUGCAUUUGUAUGGAAAAUUAUAGGACUGCAUCUCUUAUUUCAAGUGAAUAUUUUUUGGCAGUAAAGGAAAUCGUAUCGUUCAUAUCUUUUGAAAUUACUACUGGGUAUUAAUGUCCUUGACAUGCUGGUUUAGUUGAUGGGGCCCUGGCCACCUCUAUGACAUUGUUGCCUUCUCCCAUUCUCAUUCUGUACUUUAUCAGAUCCAAAGUUGUCAUGGUUCAUUAUCUGUAGAUGAUCUUGAG